rnacentral:rRNA from 1 species
UACUCCUACGGGAGGCAGCAGUGAGGAAUAUUGGUCAAUGGACGGAAGUCUGAACCAGCCAAGUAGCGUGCAGGAUGACGGCCCUAUGGGUUGUAAACUGCUUUUGUAUGGGGAUAAAGUUAGGGACGUGUCCCUAUUUGCAGGUACCAUACGAAUAAGGACCGGCUAAUUCCGUGCCAGCAGCCGCGGUAAUACGGAAGGUCCAGGCGUUAUCCGGAUUUAUUGGGUUUAAAGGGAGCGUAGGCUGGAGAUUAAGUGUGUUGUGAAAUGUAGACGCUCAACGUCUGAAUUGCAGCGCAUACUGGUUUCCUUGAGUACGCACAACGUUGGCGGAAUUCGUCGUGUAGCGGUGAAAUGCUUAGAUAUGACGAAGAACUCCGAUUGCGAAGGCAGCUGACGGGAGCGCAACUGACGCUUAAGCUCGAAGGUGCGGGUAUCAAACAGGAUUAGAUACCCUGGUAGUCCGCACAGUAAACGAUGGAUGCCCGCUGUUGGUACCUGGUAUCAGCGGCUAAGCGAAAGCAUUAAGCAUCCCACCUGGGGAGUACGCCGGCAACGGUGAAACUCAAAGGAAUUGACGG